rnacentral:rRNA from 1 species
AGUUCGGAUUGUAGUCUGCAACUCGACUACAUGAAGCUGGAAUCGCUAGUAAUCGUAGAUCAGCAUGCUACGGUGAAUACGUUCCCGGGUCUUGUACACACCGCCCGUCACACCACGAGAGUUUGUAACACCCGAAGCCGGUGGAGUAACCUUUUAGGAGCUAGCCGUCGAAGGUGGGACAAAUGAUUGGGGUGAAGUCGUAACAAGGUAGCCGUAUCGGAAGGUGCGGCUGGAUCACCUCCUUUCUAAGGAUAUAUUCGGAACAUCUUCUUCAGAAGAUGCGGAAUAACGUGACAUAUUGUAUUCAGUUUUGAAUGUUUAUUUAACAUUCAAAUAUUUUUUGGUUAAAGUGAUAUUGCUUAUGCGAGCGCUUGACAAUCUAUUCUUUUAAAGAAAGCGAUUGUCAGACAAUGCAUUAAGAAAAAUUAAAGCGGAGUUUACUUUUGUAAAUGAGCAUUUGAUUUUUUGAAAAUAAAGCAGUAUGCGAGCGCUUGACUAAAAAGAAAUUGUACAUUGAAAACUAGAUAAGUAAGUAAAAUAUAGAUUUUACCAAGCAAAACCGAGUGAAUAAAGAGUUUUAAAUAAGCUUGAAUUCAUAAGAAAUAAUCGCUAGUGUUCGAAAGAACACUCACAAGAUUAAUAACGCGUUUAAAUCUUUUUAUAAAAGAACGUAACUUCAUGUUAACGUUUGACUUAUAAAAAUGGUGGAAACAUAGAUUAAGUUAUUAAGGGCGCACGGUGGAUGCCUUGGCACUAGAAGCCGAUGAAGGACGUUACUAACGACGAUAUGCUUUGGGGAGCUGUAAGUAAGCUUUGAUCCAGAGAUUUCCGAAUGGGGAAACCCAGCAUGAGUUAUGUCAUGUUAUCGAUAUGUGAAUACAUAGCAUAUCAGAAGGCACACCCGGAGAACUGAAACAUCUUAGUACCCGGAGGAAGAGAAAGAAAAUUCGAUUCCCUUAGUAGCGGCGAGCGAAACGGGAAGAGCCCAAACCAAAAGCUUGCUUGUUGGGGUUGUAGGACACUCUAUACGGAGUUACAAAGGACGACAUUAGACGAAUCAUCUGGAAAGAUGAAUCAAAGAAGGUAAUAAUCCUGUAGUCGAAAAUGUUGUCUCUCUUGAGUGGAUCCUGAGUACGACGGAGCACGUGAAAUUCCGUCGGAAUCUGGGAGGACCAUCUCCUAAGGCUAAAUACUCUCUAGUGACCGAUAGUGAACCAGUACCGUGAGGGAAAGGUGAAAAGCACCCCGGAAGGGGAGUGAAAUAGAACCUGAAACCGUGUGCUUACAAGUAGUCAGAGCCCGUUAAUGGGUGAUGGCGUGCCUUUUGUAGAAUGAACCGGCGAGUUACGAUUUGAUGCAAGGUUAAGCAGUAAAUGUGGAGCCGUAGCGAAAGCGAGUCUGAAUAGGGCGUUUAGUAUUUGGUCGUAGACCCGAAACCAGGUGAUCUACCCUUGGUCAGGUUGAAGUUCAGGUAACACUGAAUGGAGGACCGAACCGACUUACGUUGAAAAGUGAGCGGAUGAACUGAGGGUAGCGGAGAAAUUCCAAUCGAACCUGGAGAUAGCUGGUUCUCUCCGAAAUAGCUUUAGGGCUAGCCUCAAGUGAUGAUUAUUGGAGGUAGAGCACUGUUUGGACGAGGGGCCCCUCUCGGGUUACCGAAUUCAGACAAACUCCGAAUGCCAAUUAAUUUAACUUGGGAGUCAGAACAUGGGUGAUAAGGUCCGUGUUCGAAAGGGAAACAGCCCAGACCACCAGCUAAGGUCCCAAAAUAUAUGUUAAGUGGAAAAGGAUGUGGCGUUGCCCAGACAACUAGGAUGUUGGCUUAGAAGCAGCCAUCAUUUAAAGAGUGCGUAAUAGCUCACUAGUCGAGUGACACUGCGCCGAAAAUGUACCGGGGCUAAACAUAUUACCGAAGCUGUGGAUUGUCCUUUGGACAAUGGUAGGAGAGCGUUCUAAGGGCGUUGAAGCAUGAUCGUAAGGACAUGUGGAGCGCUUAGAAGUGAGAAUGCCGGUGUGAGUAGCGAAAGACGGGUGAGAAUCCCGUCCACCGAUUGACUAAGGUUUCCAGAGGAAGGCUCGUCCGCUCUGGGUUAGUCGGGUCCUAAGCUGAGGCCGACAGGCGUAGGCGAUGGAUAACAGGUUGAUAUUCCUGUACCACCUAUAAUCGUUUUAAUCGAUGGGGGGACGCAGUAGGAUAGGCGAAGCGUGCGAUUGGAUUGCACGUCUAAGCAGUAAGGCUGAGUAUUAGGCAAAUCCGGUACUCGUUAAGGCUGAGCUGUGAUGGGGAGAAGACAUUGUGUCUUCGAGUCGUUGAUUUCACACUGCCGAGAAAAGCCUCUAGAUAGAAAAUAGGUGCCCGUACCGCAAACCGACACAGGUAGUCAAGAUGAGAAUUCUAAGGUGAGCGAGCGAACUCUCGUUAAGGAACUCGGCAAAAUGACCCCGUAACUUCGGGAGAAGGGGUGCUCUUUAGGGUUAACGCCCAGAAGAGCCGCAGUGA